GGGGGUAUAGCUCGGUUGGUAAAGUGCUUGCCUCAAAUGCACAAGGACCUGGGUUCAAUCCCCAGCAGCACCA
rfam:Ictidomys tridecemlineatus contig057443, whole genome shotgun sequence.